UGGGGAAUAUUGGACAAUGGGCGCAAGCCUGAUCCAGCCAUGCCGCGUGGGUGAAGAAGGCCUUCGGGUUGUAAAGCCCUUUUGUUGGGAAAGAAAAGCAGUCGGUUAAUACCCGAUUGUUCUGACGGUACCCAAAGAAUAAGCACCGGCUAACUUCGUGCCAGCAGCCGCGGUAAUACGAAGGGUGCAAGCGUUACUCGGAAUUACUGGGCGUAAAGCGUGCGUAGGUGGUUUGUUAAGUCUGAUGUGAAAGCCCUGGGCUCAACCUGGGAAUUGCAUUGGAUACUGGCAGGCUGGAGUGCGGUAGAGGGUAGUGGAAUUCCCGGUGUAGCAGUGAAAUGCGUAGAGAUCGGGAGGAACAUCCGUGGCGAAGGCGACUACCUGGACCAGCACUGACACUGAGGCACGAAAGCGUGGGGAGCAAACAGGAUUAGAUACCCUGGUAGUCCACGCCCUAAACGAUGCGAACUGGAUGUUGGGUUCAAUUAGGAACUCAGUAUCGAAGCUAACGCGUUAAGUUCGCCGCCUGGGGAGUACGGUCGCAAGACUGAAACUCAAAGGAAUUGAC
rnacentral:rRNA from 1 species